UACGUAGGUGGCAAGCGUUAUCCGGAUUUACUGGGUGUAAAGGGCGUGUAGGCGGCUCUGCAAGUCAGAUGUGAAAUUCCCGGGCUUAACCCGGGCGCUGCAUCUGAAACUGCAGAACUUGAGUACUGGAGAGGAUAGUGGAAUUCCUAGUGUAGCGGUAAAAUGCGUAGAUAUUAGGAGGAACACCAGUGGCGAAGGCGGCUAUCUGGACAGUAACUGACGCUGAGGCGCGAAAGCGUGGGGAGCAAACAGG
rnacentral:rRNA from 1 species